rnacentral:tRNA from 1 species
GUGUGGGUUAGCUCAGUGGCUAGGGCUUAGAUCUUGUGACCGGAAGGUCUCGGGAUCGAAUCCCGCCAGAGACA